GGCGGAUGGAUGAUCAAACUUAAGAAACCUGCCUAGUAGAUUGGGAUAACUCCGGGAAACCGGGGCUAAUACCGAAUAAUCCUUUUUGUCACAUGGCAAAAUGCUGAAAGGCGGUUUCGGCUGUCACUACUAGAUGGGCCCGCGGUGCAUUAGCUAGUUGGUGGGGUAACGGCCUACCAAGGCAACGAUGCAUAGCCGACCUGAGAGGGUGAUCGGCCACAUUGGGACUGAGACACGGCCCAAACUCCUACGGGAGGCAGCAGUAGGGAAUCUUCCACAAUGGACGAAAGUCUGAUGGAGCAACGCCGCGUGAGUGAUGAAGGUUUUCGGAUCGUAAAACUCUGUUGUAAGGGAAGAACAAGUACGUUAGUAACUGAACGUACCUUGACGGUACCUUAUUAAAAAGCCACGGCUAACUACGUGCCAACAGCCGCGGUAAUACGUAGGUGGCAAGCGUUGUCCGGAUUUAUUGGGCGUAAAGCGCGCGCAAGUGGUUUCUUAAGUCUGAUGUGAAAGCCCACGGCUCAACCGUGGAAGGUCAUUGGAAACUGGGAGACUUGAGUGCAGAAGAAGAAAGUGGAAUUCCAAGUGUAGCGGUGAAAUGCGUAGAGAUUUGGAAGAACACCAGUGGCGAAGGCGACUUUCUGGUCUGUAACUGACACUGAAGCGCCGAAAGCGUGGGGGAGCAAACAGGGAUUAGAUACCCUGGGUAGUCCACGCCCGUAAACGAUGAGUGCUAAGUGUUUAGGGGGUUUCCGUCCCCUUAGUGCUGCAGCUUAACGCAUUUAAGCACUCCCGCCUGGGGGAGUACGGGCCGCCACGGUUGAAAACUCAAAAGGGAAUUGAACGGGGGGCCCCCCCCAAGCCGUUGGAACCAUGUUGGUUUUAAUUUCCGAAGCCACCCCCGAAAAAACCUUUACCCAGGUUCUUGGACAUCCC
rnacentral:rRNA from 1 species